AGGACGAACGCUGGCGGCGUGCUUAACACAUGCAAGUCGAGCGGAAAGGCCCUUCGGGGUACUCGAGCGGCGAACGGGUGAGUAACACGUGAGGAACCUGCCCUGGACUUUGGGAUAACCCUCGGAAACGGGGGCUAAUACCGAAUACGACACGGUCUCGCAUGAGAUCCGUGUGGAAAGUUUUUCGGUCUGGGAUGGUCUCGCGGCCUAUCAGCUUGUUGGUGGGGUAAUGGCCUACCAAGGCGACGACGGGUAG
rnacentral:rRNA from 1 species